rnacentral:rRNA from 1 species
GAGUAAUGCGUGACCAACCUGCCCCAUGCUCCAGAAUAGCUCUUGGAAACGGGUGGUAAUGCUGGAUGCUCCAACUUGACGCAUGUCUUGUUGGGAAAGUGUUUAGUGGCAUGGGAUGGGGUCGCGUCCUAUCAGCUUGUAGGCGGGGUAAUGGCCCACCUAGGCUUCGACGGGUAGCCGGUCUGAGAGGGCGGACGGCCACAUUGGGACUGAGAUACGGCCCAGACUCCUACGGGAGGCAGCAGAC